ACAUGAUGUAGUUCUGCGAUGACGUGUCUCUAGACUGCAGAGGCGGAAGUAGACGUGUAGCUGCUGUUCGGCCAACAACCAUCCUGACUCUACAUCAAACUCAACAUUAACAGUCCAUCAUGGUGACAGACGUACAGCUGGCCAUCUUUGCCAACAUGCUGGGAGUGUCUCUGUUCCUGCUGGUGGUGCUCUAUCACUACGUGGCAGUCAACAACCCCAAGAAGCUUGAAUGAUCAUAAUAACACCAAGAUGAAUCAGAAGGUGAACAUUGUGAUUGGGGACCACUGAACGAAACAGACGAUGAUGCAGCCUGUAAAGUUGUUGUUUUGUAUGAAAAUGUUAAUAAAUUUGUAAAUGUUGA